GCCCAGCGUGGCUUUUUGCCGUUAUGGGCGCCGUUAUUUUUUCGAGCGGCGGCGGCGGCAACUGCCCCCAGGGGCCGCAAUGAAGGCCUCCGGGGGCCAGGUGCGGCCCGCGGGCCAGAGGUUGUCGACCUCUGUCCCAGACAUUACAAAGAAUUUAAAACAUACACCAUGCUGGAGAGCCUCCCACCCAUAGGGGAGAAACAGCUUUCGUUCCUCUGACACCUCAUUUUGUUUCCUUUUAGCCCUGUUGGAUGAGCAAGAAGGCAUCAGUCUCCAUGCCUAGUAGCUGGGCCAGGCCCGACAUUACUACUGCCAUAAAUCCUUGAGAAGUUACCACCAGAAACCAAGUCACCCAUGACAAAGACUACAGGUGCAUGAGCACCUCUAGCCAUCAUAGGUCCUAUAGCAAAGACCAUCAGGGUGGCCACUUACAAGCCACCAUACACACUUGUUAGGCAUCACUAGCUUGACGGCUUGGCUGAGGCUGCUGUUGACAGCAGGGUCUUGCAGUGCGUGCUCAAACCUAUGUCUGAAGGGCCAGCACUGCCCACCCUGUUUAGAUAGGCUUUGGUAAAUCCCAAACUACAGGAUGUGGGGAUCUUAUCUGCUGGAAACGGACAUAUCACAGGUAAGAGCCAAUGUCCCUAUCCUACAAGUUGCGUCUUAACUGCAGAAAGGAGGAUUCAGUGAUGGGUUUGCCUCCUAGGAUUACCUGAUGGCCUUGUCCUUGCAACAAGAGCAACAAAGCCAAGACAUCAACUGGGAGCAGCUGCCAGAAGGAAUCGGUGAUCUUGAGCUUGCCAAGAAACUUCAGGAAGAAGAGGACAGGCGGGCUUCUCAGUACUAUCAGGAGCAAGAGCAAGUUGCUGCUGCCGCCGCCGCUGCCACCACCACUGCCAGUCAGGUCCAGCAGCCACCGGGCCCUGCCUCUCCUUCGAUGGGGAAACCUUCAGCGGGCAGUGAACGGAAACGGAAGGAGCCGCGGGAGAAAGAGAAGAACAGCUGUGCCAUCCUAUAGCGGGAGCAGGAGGGGGCUCUUCCUGGACCCAAGCACAUCUCCUUGGCACAUGAGCAAGGAAUCGUAUGACCACCCUGUUCCCCCCAUGCCACCUGUGCCUCAUAGACCCACAAAGGAUGGCAGCCACCCUCCCCCUAAGACUGUUGGAGAUGCACAAGCGCACUUCUGGAGAGUUUUUGGUGUGGCCACCUGUGCUUCUGAAGCCUGGUGAGAAAAAGUGGGCUCCUUUCACCGGUGGCGGGCACACUGCUGGAGGUGGUGCACCUGAGGAAAGGAAGGAAUCAUGGUCUCUAUGGUGGAAGUCACCAACUGGCCGUCACACUGGGCUCUUGUGUCCCAGCCUAUCUUGGUUGCCAUAAGAGAAGCCUUUGUGUCAUGGAGGCAACCUUUGGGGGCUACCCCUAUCCCACAACAGUCCUCCUGGGCUGUAGGUUGGUGCCUCCUGAACAGUCUUUGACCAACGUCAGUCCAUAUUCUGGGCAAAAUACUGGUCCACGUGGCUAAGAAUUGGGUGUUGUGAAAAGAAACUGUUGAAGCGAAGCAAGAGAAAAUGGCAGUGAUUCUGCCAGGAGCAGGCUUGCAAACGUUUGUCCUGGCCUCUCGUGGACACACCAUGGAGAGAAAGGCCAGAGCUGUGCUGUUAUUUAUUUGACCACUCUGCCCAGGGGAAGGGACCGGAAGGGAAAGCGGAUGCGUCAUAAGCUGUGGAAUUCAACUUGUUGGAGGCUUGCCUUCUCCGUCCCCCCUGCCCCAAAGGACUUUAGACAAGUUAAAUGCAGGCGUCUUUGCUUGUAUGCCUUAUCAAGUGUACUGUAGGUAGGUACUCCGCCCCUUGCCAAUGCAGCUGCAAAGCACACCUUGGGCAGAGUGUGGAAGUUGCCCCCUGGUUCCCCAGGGUGAGCAUCGGGUGGCCCUGCAGGUCUUGCUGGAUUGAUGCCCCCAUCAGCCCCAUUCUUGGGAGAUGGUGGAGGCGAUGAUGGGGUGGCAUUGUUGGGAUGCUCUAAUCUAGCAACAUCCCUUGGACCACUCAUUGUCCGCUUCUCAUGCGUGACCCAAAUUGUCUCUGCCAGUGUGCCCCUUGGUGUACUCAACUCACUUGUGUAUUUAAAUUUUGGGGUGGGGUGGGGCUGGUAUUUUUGGGGAAAGACACAUGGCUGUAAAGACUGGUAGAUUUUUGGGUAACCAGAUUUUCUAAGUAGAUGAUACAAACAAAACAUGCUACAUAUCAUAUUUAUAGGCUUCCGACGACGGAGUAUUUGUUGAAUUUUACUGUUAACCGGGAUGGGGGCGUUAGAACUCCCAGGCUUUCCUCUCGAGAGGGACUUGGGCCUUCAUCCUUUUGAUAACUUUAUAUAUCAGAUUUGUAGAUGCUUCAGACAAAAAUGUGUGCUGUAUUUCGUAAAGCCUGGACCUGUGCAUUACAGACCAACCUCACCCUGCCCUUCCCAUGGCAAAUUACUCAAAAGUCAGUGUGAUAAUCUUGCUCUGGGGGAGCCGGGUGAUGGAGGAGUCCUAUAAAACUUGAGGGUUCAACUCUGGGGAAGGGAAGGGCUGCUCUCCUUUUCUAAGAGGGUAGUACUUGGAGCAGUUCCUCAAUCCUUUUCUAACUCUUGCAGUUUCUGAAACCUUUAUGUCGGAAGGUGCCUCAAAGUGGAUCCUUAGCUGGUGAUUUCCCUGCAAAGCGUUCCGUGGUUUAUACCUGCGGCUGGUGGGUGUGUUUGUGUGUGUGAAUGCGUUCACGUACUUGUUCCUUUUUCGAGACUGAAAGACUUGCCUUAGCCUGAAAUGCAAACUGUUCUGCCCAGCGUGUGUUAACAAACAUGAUGGCUUCAUUCAGAACUGAAUUUAGCUUGUAUCAUGUUAAAAUUUAAAUAUGUAAGGAGUAUCUCUUGCACGUCUCCAAAGUAUCUUGUUUCACAUAUGCAUAUGACCCUUACUGACUUUAGACAAUAGUGCCAUCUUGUUAUUAUUAUUAUUACUAUUAUUGUUACCCUUAACAAAGAAGCUAUCACUGACCUUUUAUCCAGGCGCUUCUUUUUUCCUUUUUGCAAAAAGGAAAAAAAAAUCACUAAGGUGUUUGUUUACAUUAAGUGUAAGUUUGUACCAUUUCCAGUAUCUUUUUCUUUUCUUCUAUGUGCUAAAACUUGGAAGAUGCAGGACAUGCACGCGCACCCGUCCUGUUCACUGUUUCAAGUCACACUGGUCGAUGGUUUGCUUAAGGAGAAAAAGGGAGGCUGGCUUGGCUCAGCUUCCUCUGGAUUCUGUCCGUUUCACAAGGGGGGAAAUGCCUCUGUGUUUCGGGUGGGUGGCUUUGUAAGGCUGUAGCAGCACAUGGCUGGGGUCCUCCCAUGUGGGGCAGGCUACAACCUGAGCAUUUCUCAGGCACAGGAGGGACUUCUCUGUCUAAAAAGUUGUUAAGGAAGAAGCAGGCUUUGAGGCUGACAAUCCAAUACUCAACUGCCAUAGCUCAGACCUUUUCCUUCCUUUUAAUACAUUGGCUGUGAAAGACCUGUAGUAGCAUCCCCUUGGUAGCUUUGGAUGGCCAGGGGAGUGGUGUGUGUCCCUGCUUUCUCCAGCCACAGAGCCUCUUCUGUGAAAGGAAGGGCAGUGGGGGGGCUUUGGCCCAGAUGAGAGACUCUGGCUUGGGAGGGCAGGAAGUAGUCUACCUCUCCUUCCUCAGGGCUCCCAUCCUGAGGGCCCACCAGCCAUUCCUGCUGAGCAAGGAGCUCCUCUGAGCUUUGGAGGAGCUACAAGACAGACAUGCUCUUGCUGGGCACUUUGUUUCUGCUCAUUCCUAGCUCUUUCUUGUGACUGCUUGAGAACAAUCCCUGAAACCCAAGUGGUAGCUUCUCUAGGAAGUCAUCAAGGGGGACAAGAGAUGCCAAGCCUUUCUUUGCUUGUCGAAGUUUCAUAGUGCAGAAUGCAGAGGAAUAGAGCAUCGGCAAGGGUCUCUCUUGCAGUUUUCCUGUGGGUUUUUUUGGGCUAUUUUCGGUCUGUUUUUUGCCCUGGUGGGGUAGCAGCCGGCACAUACAUCGCCACUUGAGCACUGCCAAAUAUUUUUAUAAUUUUAUAAAGGAAAAGCACUUGCAUAUGUUAAAAGUAUUGUUUAAAAAUAAAAUCAUGCUUGUUGUUUUAGUUGUUAGUCCUGAAUCGCAUCCUGUAGCUGUUAGAACUUACUUCCCUGGGUGUCUUUCCCGCAAUGGCUGUCUUGCCUUGGUUCUGCCUGCCUCCCAAUGGGUCAGAAGUCCAGCCUUGGGGCCAUUCCUCUCUCCCCAAUGGGGAACAACCCAUAAGGGCCAGCCUUGCGUUCACACAGGCGGUAGUUUCAAGACCCCCCAGAGCCCGGUCUGUGCGAAGGGGCCCUCCUGGGUCGCCUUCUUCUGCCCAUCUCCUUUCCAGAUUUCAAACCCUAGGCUGGCCCCAAGCUAGGCUUUACUCAACAAGCAAACUGCAUGGAUCGACACUGCGAUCGGCAACUGGUUUUCUUUGUUAGAUCUUGUCAAUGUAACUGCAGUGGUUUGAGCUUACAACUGUUUCCAUUCCCAUUUGUUUUCUGUCUAAUUUUAUAUAUGAUGUAUUUAUAAUUUUUAACAGUCCUGAGUAACUAUCUCCUGUAAUAAAUAUUGUUUCAACUUCA